UCCCAGUCAGAGCCAGAGUCGAAAGACGGGUGUCUCUCAUAUCAGGGCUCCGGAAACCAGUGUGGAAAUGAUCAGUGACUUUCCUUCCGUUACUGCAGGUGUGUUAUUUAUUUUGACUUUACUGAUUCAAAACAGUAUGUUCAUUUAUUAUAAAAUGGCCAUUGUUCAAUGCUAUUCUCUUUUGUUAUAAUAAACUACUGUUUUUAAAUAUUUUGCAUUGUUUUAACAGAGUCCUUCCUUCAAGAGCUUAAAAGCUCACUGGGGGGGACAUACAUGAGGAUGAAACGGCACUUUAAGCCUCAACAGACUGGUCGACCCGAAGGGCUUCAUAUCAGGGUGGUGGGAGAAAGAGAGACCCCGACUGAUCAACACCAUGGUGGCUCGACAACAUUGUGGAAAUAGUCCAGCCGUUAUCUGUUGUUGUGACUGCCGAUCACACCCAUUCAUACUGUAUGUGGCCAGUGUGAUGUCAGGGUCCACCGAGGUCAAGUGUUCUACAACAGGGAUUCGAUGACAUAUGCAUUUUUUCAUCCAUUGCCUCCCACAACUUGUGUUGUGGAGAGGGUUCUAACCCAGUGUGAGCGUCUUGUACCUUUGGAGAUGGCAGAGACAAUAUGCGGUUGUCUACGAGUAUUGUCCAGUGUCAUCGCAGGACAGUCCAUAGUUGUGGUUACAAUGAAUGGGCGAUAUGAUCUCAGAUUGCCUCAGAUUAGAUGCAAAGCAUGUGAAGCCACUUGGAUUCCUGCAGUGGAUGACCUGAUCCAUAAUGACUACUGGCCUGCCACUUCUCACUAUUCAACUGUGUACGCAACAGAUGUCCUUUUUUCUUUUGAAGAGAUGAAGGUGACUGCACCAGGGAUGUCUAGCCAAGCAUUUCUUAGAAUGCUGGAUCAACGCACUGUUCGCGUUGGCCGUGUAAGUAUUCGUGGUAAUAAUGAGUAUGAGUGAAGUCUACACAUUGUUUAUUUCCUUUGAUAUGUAUUCUAAGGAGUGGUUACGAAGUUAGUACAAACAUCCCAAAAUGUAUCCAUUUAGAACAUUUUACGUCAGUGUAGUAUAUUGUUUAAUUUUGACCCAUUUUACUGUUCUCUUUUGUUCUCUUUUACUGAACUUUGAAACAGAGCGGAAACAUCACAGCAGACAGCUUCCAGAAAAGCUUCUUGGAGUGGGAAGCUGUCCGAUUCGAAGUGGACAAAUUAUGCCAGGAGGACCACUUUGACUGCCCAGCGUGCAGCCCAGACAUGCUUGCAGUAUCUGUUGAUGGAAACCAUAAGCACUACAGAUUCAAGAGUGCAGCAAGGUACUGUGUGUGCAUUGACGGUCCAUUACUUUGAAAGUAACUGCUGUGAAUUGAAAAUCAUAUGAAUAUUAAGUUAAUAUGUAUUUCUUUUAUUUAUAUCAGAGGGAAAAGCCAUCUUUGAUGGCGUGUUCAUCGUGAAUGAUGGUGAUGUCGCAAGAUUCGUGGACUAUGUCCAUACCUCAACCAGUCAUAUAAACUUACACAACUUCACUAUAUUUAACUAUAAAACACCACGUCCUACAGAGGACUUUGUUUGAACAAGUUUGGACUGUUAACCAUCUUCCAUGUUUUAGGUCUUUGGAAGAGGUGUCUGUGGAGGGCAAUGGUCAGCAGCGUGUGAAACGUCUCAGAAGUCCUCAGGAAAAACGGACAAGGAGGGCCUGGAACUCGCUGUAUGUCGUCAUGGUGUUCUCCUUCGUGCCCUCAAUAUGUUCAGGGGGAGAUUUUGCCUACCCCCUGUACCUCCAAAAGCAAAUGGCCUGUAAGCCAGUUAGAUUUUUUGCAAUGGAUGUGGCAUGCAAGUACUGGCCUUAUCUCCAGAGAGUGACAGAGAAAUGCCCUGAGCUUCAGGAUCUCCUCACCAUGAGGCCAUUUAUUUCUGUUUUUCAUGCCAAAGCUCAUGAUUUCAAAUGUGUGGUAAGAAAAAAAUGAUUGUCCAUGACAUUUUAUUUCCCUGAAAUCCUGCAUAAGAUUGUUGCCACUUAGGUUUUUUAAAGGUAAAACGGAGUGGAGCAUAUCAGGAGGGGGCUGGUUCGACUCUUGGGGAAGAGGUGGAGCAGUGCAACGCCUUCCUCUCGAGGAUUGCUGUAAGACAAAGCACAUGUCAAAAGCAGGUAAGGUAACCAGUAAAUUUUGAUUCUGAUGACAUGGGUGAGCCACUUUGAGCUCAUGCAUAUAUGCUGACUCUGAAAAUAUAAAGCUCAGAAUAUUCAACACAAAUGGAUGGAUCGAUUACAAUACCAUCAUCCUAUUUUAUUUGACGUGAGGAUAAGGAAGGGCAGUGCGAUAUAAAAAAUACACAUCAGAGUACGAUUCGCCUACUGUCCUGCCAUAGUACUCUAUGCCAUUUAAAUACUGUCCUGCGCCACUGUUUCAUGCUAUUUCUUCACUAUCCUGUGCUAUUUACCUAACCCUUUUAUGGGACAGUAAUCAAAUGGCACAAGACAGAAGAUUAGUACUAUAAUACUGUACUGUAAGUUAUUAUCUCUGAAAAGUUUGUGAUUCAAGUCUGCACAGUUUCUUCUCCUACUGCUACUGGAAAGAAGGGUGAUAAUCUCUUAUUUUUAUUUUUGCAGGACACAUGCUGACGAUCAUGGCCAUGCGCUGGAACCAACAAAAGUUUGACAACUUGGCUUCUACCCAUGCCCGCCGAUAUCGGAAGGUAAAGACACCAGUUUUCCCUUAUGCAAAAUGCAUAGCGAUGUUGUAAAAUAAUGUGGCAUAUAUCACAAAAAUAUAGAGAACACAAUUAUCCAGAUAUUUUUCAAUAUAUUCAGUAUUAAUUAUACAGAUGGUUGCAUGUGUAGUGUCAAUUGUAUUUUUUAGUGUCUUGAUAUAAAAUAUUAAAUGUUCAUAUCACAUAUAUUGAUAGUCCACGUAUAUACGAAUAUACUGUACAGUAUAUUUAAUUAGUGUUGUAUGUGGUUUCCUAAUAGUGAAGGUACUUCACAAUCCUUAGCAACAAUAGUCAAAGUGGUAGAUGCUGAUGUUGC
rnacentral:lncRNA from 1 species